rnacentral:rRNA from 1 species
GAGGAUAUCACCCAAGACCUGAACUUAGAGUCAGGCGACGGGCUGGAUUCAUUGGACAACAUCCAGGAAUCCAAAUUGUCAAGUUCGGAAACUCCUCGGCCUUUGAGCCUCAGAUUGGGUGAGGCUUCGGAUUUAAUUCCACCCACCCACCCGAACAUAAGCGAUCUAUCCCAAAUCAGGCAAGAGCCCGAAGAAACAGUACAUCAUUACUGGGCCAGAUUCCUCCUGGUUAGGAACAAGAUAAGGGACUGCCGCGAGGAAGGCGCAAUCUCAAUCUUCUGCAAUAAUUGCACGGACAAGGGAAUCCUCAACCCUAUAAGUCGCCUGAUAUUACCCUCUUCGCCGACUUGGCAUCCAUCGUACGAAAGUACUGUGCGAUGGAAAGCGCCUGGAAAACCAAAAUAA